CUGGGGCGGUCGCCUCCUAAAGAGUAACGGAGGCGCAUUAAGGUAAGUUCAAAUUGUAGUAUUUCAAUUUUUGAGCGUAAUAGUAUAUUGCUUGCUUGACUGUAAGACUGACAAGUCAAACAGGGACGAAAGUCGGUUAUAGUGAUCCGAUGAUUCUGUGUGGAAAGGGUCAUCGCUCAACGAAUAAAAGGUACGCCGGGGAUAACAGGCUAAUCAUUCUUUAGAGACCCUAUCGACGGAAUGGUUUGGCACCUCGAUGUUGGAUUAUCGCAUCCUGGAGCUGUAAGUGGUUCCAAGGGUUUGGCUGUUCGCCAAGGAAGGCGGUACAUGAUCUGAGUUCAGAACGUCGUGAGACAGUUUGGUCCCUAUCUACCGUAAGCGUUAGAAAAUUGAAAGGAGUAAACUCUAGUACGAGAGGACCGAGAAAAGUGAAUCCCUGGUAAAUCGAUUGUUAUACCAAUAGCAUAGUCGAGUAGCUACAUUCGUAAUAGAUAAUCGCUGAAAGCAUCUAAGCGAGAAACUAGCCUUGAGAUUAAUUUUCUAAAAGAUGUAGAAGACUACUACAAGAUAGGCUUAAAGUGUAAGAAUUGUAAGAUUUUUAGCUAAUAAGUACUAAUACUU
rnacentral:rRNA from 12 species